rnacentral:rRNA from 1 species
GACCUCGGAUCAGGUAGGAAUAUCCGCUGAACUUAAUCGCCGUAAUAAGGAGGAGGA